AGAGGGUUGAGCUGCUUCAAAUGUUUGCAGAAAUGAUUUCUUUUUUUGAGGUAACUCUGUCAGCUGGGAGCACAAACAGAGAAAGAACAAGCUUGCUGAAUGAGGAUGGGUUGGAGUUGGCCAGAACUCCUGUCGUCAUUCUGUCACUGGCAUUCCUGCUGCAGCUAGGAGAAACGAUGGGUGUGGGAUAUCUAUAGAGCUGUCAUCUACAUCGAACUCGAAGUGCUUAUAGGAAAACCGGGAAGCCAAGAGAAUGCAACCACCAAAUUACUUGUCCUGGAGACCGCGGAGCCUGAGAGGAUGAACAACCUCUACUGGAGACAGCUGCAAAUAAAUGCUUUCCUAGAGCUUUCUUUGGGCUAAAUUGUUGAAACUUCUCCUGUACUCGCCAAGUUUCACUCUUGUCGCUCAGGCUGGAAUGCAACGGCCCAAUCUGGGCUCACUGCAACCUAUGCCUCCUGGGUUUAAGCGAUUCUCCUGCCUCAGCUUCCCAAGUGGCUGGGAUUACAGGUAUGUGCCACCAUGCUUGGC